rnacentral:rRNA from 1 species
UACGGAGGAUCCGAGCGUUAUCCGGAUUUACUGGGUGUAAAGGGAGCGUAGACGGCGGUGCAAGCCAGAUGUGAAAGCCCGGGGCUCAACCCCGGGACUGCAUUUGGAACUGCAUGGCUGGAGUGCGGGAGGGGCAGGCGGAAUUCCUAGUGUAGCGGUGAAAUGCGUAGAUAUUAGGAGGAACACCAGUGGCGAAGGCGGCCUGCUGGACGAUGACUGACGUUGAGGCUCGAAAGCGUGGGGAGCAAACAGG